rnacentral:lncRNA from 1 species
AUGGCAUUCAGGUUGCGCUUGGCUUAUUUAGAGCUUUGUUUUUUUCUUCUCCCAGUUAAGAAAUACCAUCUGGGUCCUGGAGAGAUGGCUCAGUGGUUAAGAGUUCUUACUGAACUGCUCUUGCAGAGAAACCAGGUCCAGUUCCAGCACCCACAUGGCAGAUCACAACCACUUGGCUUUUUUUAUAUAUUGGUUUAUUUUAUGUAUAUUAGUGCCCUAUAUGCAUGUAUGUCUUUGUGCCAGAAGACAGCUUCAGAUCCUAUUACAGAUGGUUGUGAGCCACCUUGUGGUUGCUGGGAAUUGAACUUGGGACCUCUGGAAGAGCAGCCGGUGCUCUUAACCUCUGAGCCAUCUCUCCAGUCCCCUCCCCAAAGGAUCUGGUACCCUCUUCAACUUCUACAUGUUUCUACAUGCACUUGGUGCACAGACAUUUGCUCGAGCACACACACACAUUCACAUAAGGUAAAUAAUUUUUAAAAAUACCUUGAAUUAGAUUAUCAGAUUUCAAUUCUUCUCUGCUAGUGAUCACUAUUAUGAGAGAUGAACUUCAAAAGGCAUAACCUUGUCACCAUCUGGUCACUCCCUGUCACUACAGACCUCUCCCUCAGGACACGAUGACCCUAUGUUGACCACAUUAUCCCGGUCUGACUUACGUGUUUCCCUAACCAAAGCCUUUUGGAACCCUUCUGCAGGGAGAUCAGAGAGAAUGAAAGCUUAUUUGAAGAGUGCAGAUGGCUUUUUUGUCCUAAAUAAAAGCACCACGAUCGGCAAGCAUGUGGAUUCUGACCUCGUCUUACAGGUGAGAACACAGCCCACCCCUGCCCCAUGAUACUCCAGGGCUCCUUAGUGUCGGGUAGAUGCAAGGCUCUCAAAGCCCAAAGACUGCAUCUGGCAAGCAGCCACCUCAAUCCUCGUGCUGCCAAAAGUCCAUCAUCAUGUGCAGUAAUCUCCCAGGUGGAGGAGGGGAGCUGAGUGUCACCUGGAGGUGAUGGGCCUCCCGCCUGUUGCUGUACACAUUCUCACGUGUCUCAAGUUGUCCCCUGUCCAGAAGCAGCCUUCUGGGUGAGUAGAUGCAAGGCUCUCAAAGCCCAAAGGCUGCAUCUGGCAAGCAGCCACCUCAAUCC